ensembl:snRNA U6 U6 spliceosomal RNA
GUGUUGUCUUUGGCAACACAUAUACUAAAAUUGGAACAAUAGAGAUUAGCAUGGCCCCUGCACAAAGAUGAGGCACAAACACAUAAAAUGGUAAAAAAAAAA